rnacentral:rRNA from 1 species
CGCGUAGGCGGUUAAUUAAGUCGGAUGUGAAAGCCCCGGGCUCAACCUGGGAACUGCAUUCGAUACUGGUUAACUAGAGUACGAGAGAGGGAGGUAGAAUUCCACGUGUAGCGGUGAAAUGCGUAGAUAUGUGGAGGAAUACCGGUGGCGAAGGCGGCCUCCUGGCUCGAUACUGACGCUGAGGUGCGAAAGCGUGGGGAGCAAACA